CAGCAGCCGCGGGAAUACGUAGGUGGCAAGCGUUGUCCGGAAUUAUUGGGCGUAAAGGGCUCGCAGGCGGUUUCUUAAGUCUGAUGUGAAAGCCCCCGGCUCAACCGGGGAGGGUCAUUGGAAACUGGGAAACUUGAGUGCAGAGGAGGAGAGUGGAAUUCCACGUGUAGCGGUGAAAUGCGUAGAGAUGUGGAGGAACACCAGUGGCGAAGGCGACUCUCUGGUCUGUAACUGACGCUGAGGAGCGAAAGCGUGGGGAGCGAACAGGAUUAGAUACCCCAGUAGUCCCUGUCUCUUAUAC
rnacentral:rRNA from 1 species